rnacentral:misc_RNA from 1 species
GAUGAAGAACGUAGCGAAAUGCGAUAAGUAAUGUGAAUUGCAGAAUUCAGUGAAUCAUCGAAUCUUUGAACGCACAUUGCGCCCGCCAGUAUUCUGGCGGGCAUGCCUGUUCGAGCGUCAUUACAACCCUCAGGCCCCCGGGCCUGGCGUUGGGGAUCGGCGGAGCGCCCCCUGCGGGCACACGCCGUCCCCCAAAUACAGUGGCGGUCCCGCCGCAGCUUCCAUUGCGUAGUAGCUAACACCUCGCAACUGGAGAGCGGCGCGGCCACGCCGUAAAACACCCAACUUCUGAAUGUUGACCUCGAAUCAGGUAGGAAUACCCGCUGAACUUAAGCAUAUCAAUAAGCGAGGA